GCUGCCACGGACUCAUCGCCCGACUUUUAGUCAGUCAUUCAGAGUGCGACGGGAUGGGAUGACAGACCCCUUCAGUGCCGCCCCCGGAUCCAACUUGCAGCUCCCAACGUCCCACACACAGAUACUCACUCACACACACACACUCACACGCACACGCACACGCAUACUGGCGAACGUAUAACUUGACCUACAUUCGUGCAAGACAAUAACAACGAAAAAAAGCAACAAAACACACACAUACAAAACAAAAUAACAAAAUUUACACACAGCGCUCUGAGAAAAGAAAAAGAAAAGGUAAGAAAUUUCCAACGGUACAUGAGCUGCUGGCCGGGUCUGAAUCAAUGUUUAUAUAUGAAUCGGCAGGGCUUCGGAUUCGGAUUCGGAAUCGAAUUCGCUUUUCGAUUCGCAGGCCUCACUGGUCUUUGUUUCUGCCCAAAAGUUAUUAUCGUAAAAUUGAUUUCAUUGAAGUUGCUGUCUUCGUCAUCGGAUCGGAUCGGAUCGGAUCGGCUUGGUUUGCUCGAAGCUUUUGCACAUAUAUAUGUAUCUGUAUCUUGUAGUAUGUAUGCUAUACAUCGCUUUCUGGUACACUCCGCCUAUGUAUUUUGAUAAUUAGGCGAAAGAAAUCGAGUCAGCAGACUGCAGCCCGUGGAUCGGCGGUUCCGCAUUGGAAAACGCUAGAAGACACCACAAAUAGAAAGCGACAGUGGAUGUCAAGUCAAUCUGGGACGUAAACAGCUCUCUGGUCUUCAUUAAAGGGAAAACUAUUAUAUUCUCUUAUUAAGCUACCCUUAGUGGUAUCCAAAAAUUGGCAUGAAAUGACUACAUAAGUUGGCUCGAAAAGCUGAGCUUUGCUGUAAAUUCUAGUUAAAUUAAAUCUAAGACUCUAAGUCAUCAAAGUUGUUUGUGGUUGUAUAUAACACAAUUAACAGCUUCAUAAAGUAGUUAAUGUUUAUUAUAAUUAUAAUAAAGACAUUUCAAUUGAA